rnacentral:rRNA from 1 species
GACGAACGCUGGCGGCGUGCUUAACACAUGCAAGUCGAACGGAAAGGCCCCUUUGGGGGUACUCGAGUGGCGAACGGGUGAGUAACACGGGAGUAACCUGCCCUCUACUUCGGGAUAACUUCAGGAAACUGGGGCUAAUACCGGAUAGGAAUCCUUGCUGCAUGGUGGGGGUUGGAGAGCUUCGGCGGUUUUGGAUGGACUCGCGGCUUAUCAGCUUGUUGGUGGGGUAGUGGCUUACCAAGGCUUUGACGGGUAGCCGGCCUGAGAGGGCGACCGGCCACAUUGGGACUGAGAUACGGCCCAGACUCCGACGGGAGGCAGCAGUGGGGAAUAUUGCACAAUGGGCGGAAGCCUGAUGCAGCAACGCCGCGUGCGGGAUGACGGCCUUCGGGUUGUAAAACGCUUUCAGCAGGGGCGAAGCUUGUGGUGACGGUACCUGCAGAAGAAGCACCGGCUAACUACGUG